ACCAAUGUUCCUAUAUUUUAAGUUGCGAAAUAAUACAUACGUGUAACAGAUACAACAUUACUUAUAACAUACCAGACAAACUAAGUGACAUUUUAGGCCUACAGUGCAAUAAUAUGUCAAAUUUAAAGAGUUUCCCAAGUUCAAUUAAUACAAUAUUAUAAACAUACAAAUGUAAUAAAAAUUAUUGUUCGCGAAUAUUCAAUUUGGAAUGCGAUUUUGUUAAUAAAAAAAAUACUUAUAACUUAUGCAAAACCCAAGAGAGGCAUUUAUAUUUAUUUCUUUUGCGUUCAUUUUCAAAUUCGCCGUGCAUAUAUUUUUGUGCAUGGCGCUUGAGAGGGCAUCACGUGACUAAAAACGACCAACCAACGACCUCGCUUCGGCCAUCUUGGCAUCUUCAUCUUUGUGUUCAUCUUUGGCCACCUUGCUUUGCCGUGGGUGGAUAGUUGUUUGUAUUAUUUGUGCUUUUUAAGAAUAUUUUUUUAAUUCGGAUACUUUUAUAAUAGCUUUAAUAGUAUUAUUAACAUAGUGAAUAAAAUGGUGUCCUGUUUUUAACGCAGUUGGAGUAGCAGAAACAAAUGUAGAUAAAAAAAUCUGCAGGAAUAACGUUUCAAUUAUGACAGAAGCUCAAAACAAAUGACUGUGAAUGAAAAGCCCUAUUAAAAGCUUUCCAGAAGAUCCUGCGAAGAAGACAUGAACUAUAGAUCAGAUUUGUUAAUAGAGGAGUAUGUUCAAAA
rnacentral:lncRNA from 1 species